rnacentral:rRNA from 1 species
CGGACGGGUGAGUAAUGUCUGGGAAACUGCCUGAUGGAGGGGGAUAACUACUGGAAACGGUAGCUAAUACCGCAUAACGUCGCAAGACCAAAGAGGGGGACCUUCGGGCCUCUUUCCAUCGGAUGUGCCCAGAUGGGAUUAGCUAGUAGGUGGGGUAAAGGCUCACCUAGGCGACGAUCCCUAGCUGGUCUGAGAGGAUGACCAGCCACACUGGAACUGAGACACGGUCCAG